ACUUUUAAAGGAAAGUAGAAAUCCCC
rnacentral:tRNA from 1 species